rnacentral:rRNA from 1 species
ACAGCAGUAGCCGCGGGAAUACAGAGGGUGCGAGCGUUAAUCGGAUUUACUGGGCGUAAAGCGUGCGUAGGUGGUGGUUUAAGUCCGUUGUGAAAGCCCUGGGCUCAACCUGGGAAUUGCAGUGGAUACUGGGUCACUAGAGUGUGGUAGAGGAUAGUGGAAUUUCCGGUGUAGCAGUGAAAUGCGUAGAGAUCGGAAGGAACAUCUGUGGCGAAGGCGACUAUCUGGGCCAACACUGACACUGAGGCACGAAAGCGUGGGGAGCAAACAGGAUUAGAUACCCCCGUAGUCCCUGUCUCUUAUAC